rnacentral:rRNA from 1 species
UACGAAGGGUGCAAGCGUUAAUCGGAAUUACUGGGCGUAAAGCGUGCGCAGGCGGUUCGUUAAGUCCGUUGUGAAAGCCCCGGGCUCAACCUGGGAAUGGCAAUGGAAACUGGCGGGCUAGAGUGUGGCAGAGGGGGGUGGAAUUCCGCGUGUAGCAGUGAAGUGCGUAGAGAUGCGGAGGAACACCGAUGGCGAAGGCAGCCCCCUGGGCUAGCACUGACGCUCAGGCACGAAAGCGUGGGGAGCAAACAGG